GACGUACUGCACGAACGUUAUUCGGAAUCACUGGGCUUAAAGGGCGCGUAGGCGGGCCGCCGCGUCCGGGGUGAAAUCCUCCCGCUCAACGGGAGAACGGCCUCGGAUACGGGCGGUCUGGAGGCGGGUAGGGGCACGCGGAACUGUGGGUGGAGCGGUGAAAUGCGUUGAGAUCCACAGGAACUCCGGUGGCGAAGGCGGCGUGCUGGACCAGUCCUGACGCUGAGGCGCGAAAGCCAGGGGAGCGAACGGG
rnacentral:rRNA from 1 species